CCCCCACCAUUAUUAUAGCCUUCAUCAAAAUGUUGGUGCUUCUCGUCAUCAUUAUUGCUGCUACCACCACCAAUAGCUCUCAAUAUCAUGUUUAUAUUUUUAAAAAUAAUUGACUAUACAAAAUAUAUUUGUAUUUUAAAAAUUUAAAAAUAAAAUAAAAAUAUUUUUUGGUGAAAAUUGAAAUAUUUUUUUAUUAUUUUAUGUAUAAAAAUAAAAAAAAAUGAAGAUGAUGCUAAAUAAUACCUA
rnacentral:lncRNA from 1 species